CCUACGGGAGGCAGCAGUGAGGAAUAUUGGUCAAUGGCCGUAAGGCUGAACCUGCCAAGUAGCGUGAGGGAAGACUGCCCUAUGGGUUGUAAACCUCUUUUAUGUGGGGAUAAAGGUGUCCACGUGUGGAUGUUUGCAGGUACCGCAUGAAUAAGGAUCGGCUAACUCCGUGCCAGCAGCCGCGGUAAUACGGAGGAUCCGAGCGUUAUCCGGAUUUGUUGGGUGUAAAGGGAGCGUAGAUGGGUUGUUAAGUCAGUUGUGAAAGUUUGCGGCUCAACCGUAAAAUUGCAAUUGAUACUGGCAGCCUUGAGUACAGGUGAGGUAGGCGGAAUUCGUGGUGUAGCGGUGAAAUGCUUAGAUAUCACGAAGAACUCCGAUUGCGAAGGCAGCUUACUAAACUGCCACUGACAUUGAUGCUCGAAAGUGUGGGUAGCAAACAGGAUUAGAUACCCGUGUAGUC
rnacentral:rRNA from 1 species